CAAAAGUUUUAUUCUUGCUUAGAAUGAUUUAUGUAGAGUUUGUUUAUUUUACAUGUAAGUUUUGAGGGCGAGAAAGGUAAAUUGUGGUUUUCUUAAUGAAGAUCAUUAGGAUAGGAGAAGAAUAUGCAGUAUUUAGUUUUAUAUAUUAAGGAAGUUUAGAUUUAGCAAAUUUAGUAGCGUCGGCAAAAAUCGUGCCAGCCGCCGCGGUUACACGAAGGAUGCAAGUAAAUAAAGUCGGUCUGCAGUUAGAUUUUUAAUAAUUAAAGUGGGGAUUAUAGUUGAAUUUUUUUAGGUGGAAUUUUAAGUUUGAGUUAGUUUCUGAGAAGAUGGAUUGAAGCUGUGAAAUUUAAAGAUUAAACUAGGAUUAGAUACCCUACUAUUGUAAAUGUAAAAAAGUUUAGACCUGAGUAGUAAUAGUUAUGUUCUUGAAACUCAAAGAAUUUGGCGGUACUUUAGUCCUUUCAGAGGAACCUGCCCCUUAAUCGAUAUUCCUCGUUAGAUCUCACUUGGUCUUGUAGCAGUUUGUAUACCGCCGUCGUCAGAAUGUUCUUGUAGGAUAUAAAUUUUCGUGAAUUGUGAUGAAUAAAAGAGAUGUCAGGUCAAGGUGCAGCUUAUGAUCAAGAGGAGGUGGGUUACAUUAAGUGAAUUUAAACGGAUAAUGAUUUGAAAGUUAAGUUGUUUGAAGGUGGAUUUGAUUGUAAUUUUUUAGAUUAAGUUAUUUUGAUUCUUGGCUCUAAAGUAUGCACACAUCGCCCGUCGCUCUCGUUCGUUUAAGGCGAGAUAAGUCGUAACAUAGUAGAUGUACCGGAAGGUGUAUCUGGAAAGAUUA
rnacentral:ncRNA from 1 species